rnacentral:rRNA from 1 species
AUGAACGCUAGCGACAGGCUUAACACAUGCAAGUCGAGGGGCAGCGGGGGUAGCGAUACCCGCCGGCGACCGGCGCACGGGUGAGUAACGCGUAUGCAACUUGCCUAUCAGAGGGGGAUAACCCGGCGAAAGUCGGACUAAUACCGCAUGAAGCAGGGAUCCCGCAUGGGAAUAUUUGCUAAAGAUUCAUCGCUGAUAGAUAGGCAUGCGUUCCAUUAGGCAGUUGGCGGGGUAACGGCCCACCAAACCGACGAUGGAUAGGGGUUCUGAGAGGAAGGUCCCCCACAUUGGUACUGAGACACGGACCAAACUCCUACGGGAGGCAGCAGUGAGGAAUAUUGGUCAAUGGGCGUAAGCCUGAACCAGCCAAGUCGCGUGAGGGAUGAAGGUUCUAUGGAUCGUAAACCUCUUUUAUAAGGGAAUAAAGUGCGGGACGUGUCCCGUUUUGUAUGUACCUUAUGAAUAAGGAUCGGCUAACUCCGUGCCAGCAGCCGCGGUAAUACGGAGGAUCCGAGCGUUAUCCGGAUUUAUUGGGUUUAAAGGGUGCGUAGGCGGCCUUUUAAGUCAGCGGUGAAAGUCUGUGGCUCAACCAUAGAAUUGCCGUUGAAACUGGGGGGCUUGAGUAUGUUUGAGGCAGGCGGAAUGCGUGGUGUAGCGGUGAAAUGCAUAGAUAUCACGCAGAACCCCGAUUGCGAAGGCAGCCUGCCAAGCCAUUACUGACGCUGAUGCACGAAAGCGUGGGGAUCAAACAGGAUUAGAUACCCUGGUAGUCCGCACGGUAAACGAUGGAUGCCCGCUGUUGGUCUGAAUAGGUCAGCGGCCAAGCGAAAGCAUUAAGCAUCCCACCUGGGGAGUACGCCGGCAACGGUGAAACUCAAAGGAAUUGACGGGGGCCCGCACAAGCGGAGGAACAUGUGGUUUAAUUCGAUGAUACGCGAGGAACCUUACCCGGGCUUAAAUUGCAACCGAAUAUGGCGGAAACGCCAUAGCUAGCAAUAGCGGUUGUGAAGGUGCUGCAUGGUUGUCGUCAGCUCGUGCCGUGAGGUGUCGGCUUAAGUGCCAUAACGAGCGCAACCCUUGCCACUAGUUACUAACAGGUGAUGCUGAGGACUCUGGUGGGACUGCCAGCGUAAGCUGCGAGGAAGGCGGGGAUGACGUCAAAUCAGCACGGCCCUUACAUCCGGGGCGACACACGUGUUACAAUGGCGUGGACAAAGGGAGGCCACCUGGCGACAGGGAGCGAAUCCCCAAACCACGUCUCAGUUCGGAUCGGAGUCUGCAACCCGACUCCGUGAAGCUGGAUUCGCUAGUAAUCGCGCAUCAGCCAUGGCGCGGUGAAUACGUUCCCGGGCCUUGUACACACCGCCCGUCAAGCCAUGGGAGCCGGGGGUACCUGAAGUCCGUAACCGAAAGGAUCGGCCUAGGGUAAAACUGGUGACUGGGGCU